CCUACGGGAGGCAGCAGUGGGGAAUUUUGGACAAUGGGGGCAACCCUGAUCCAGCCAUGCCGCGUGAGUGAAGAAGGCCUUCGGGUUGUAAAGCUCUUUCGGCCGGAACGAAAUCGCGCACGUGAAUAACGUGCGUGGAUGACGGUACCGGAGUAAGAAGCACCGGCUAACUACGUGCCAGCAGCCGCGGUAAUACGUAGGGUGCGAGCGUUAAUCGGAAUUACUGGGCGUAAAGCGUGCGCAGGCGGUUCGCUAAGUCAGACGUGAAAGCCCCGGGCUUAACCUGGGAACGGCGUUUGAAACUGGCGGGCUCGAGUACGGCAGAGGGGGGUGGAAUUCCACGUGUAGCAGUGAAAUGCGUAGAUAUGUGGAGGAACACCGAUGGCGAAGGCAGCCCCCUGGGCCGAUACUGACGCUCAUGCACGAAAGCGUGGGGAGCAAACAGGAUUAGAUACCCUGGUAGUCCACGCCCUAAACUAUGUCAACUAGUUGUCGGGGAAGCAAUUCCUUGGUAACGCAGCUAACGCGUGAAGUUGACCGCCUGGGGAGUACGGUCGCAAGAUUAAAACUCAAAUGAAUUGACGGCUGAGAGNGCGAGACGACACGAGGAGAG
rnacentral:rRNA from 1 species